rnacentral:piRNA from 1 species
CAGCAAUUUCCCAGGUACCAUGUAAGC